UACGGAGGAUGCGAGCGUUAUCCGGAUUUAUUGGGUUUAAAGGGUGCGUAGGCGGACUGGAAAGUCAGCGGUAAAAUCGAGAGGCUCAACCUCUUUCCGCCGUUGAAACUGUCGGUCUUGAGUGGGCGAGAAGUAUGCGGAAUGCGUGGUGUAGCGGUGAAAUGCAUAGAUAUCACGCAGAACUCCGAUCGCGAAGGCAGCCUACCGGCGCGCGACUGACGCUCAUGCACGAAAGCGUGGGUAUCGAACAGG
rnacentral:rRNA from 1 species